ensembl:lncRNA
CCGUUCCGAAAUCAUCACUUGGCUGACGCUGGAAAACUUGAACAGAGACCUUUUUGUGUGUCUCUUUUUAUUUGAAACAACAAACAUCUGAGACAUCAGUAAGGCCCGAUGGGUUUUUGCCACGUUUAUAUUGGUUUGGAUGUCAGGAGGAUCAAGACGAUCUGUGUGAAAGAGACGCCCAAAAAAGGUCAACAUCUAACUGAUUAUUGCUAAACAUUCUGUAAGCAUAAACAUUCAAGAGCGAUACCUCCCUCUGUUGUCUAUUUUUGGGUUGAAAGUCUCAAUCACUUGGUCAGGUGUCACCCAAGCCUUAUCUUCCAUCACAGGUAAGAUGUAGACAAAUCCAGUACUGUCAUUUCUUCUUAAAAACCUUAUUUCCAGUGCCAUCUGGUCUUGGUUGUUGACAAGUCCAACAAACUGUCUGACAGAUUUGUUUGCCCUGAAUUGGACCAAGACACAGUCUCCAGUUUUGAUGUUCCUUGCAGCUGCUGGGUGGAGCUCAGAGGACUGCUGUGCGGGACUUCCAGCAGAUGUGAUUUCUGAGGGCAGAAAUCUAUGGACACUUGACUGUUCUGCCUCUGAGUAGAUUUUGUGACGCACUUCUCCCCAGGAUGUUUUUCUUGAACGUCCAGGACAAUCUUG